rnacentral:rRNA from 1 species
UACGAAGGGGGCUAGCGUUGCUCGGAAUCACUGGGCGUAAAGCGCACGUAGGCGGCUUUCUAAGUCAGGGGUGAAAUCCUGGAGCUCAACUCCAGAACUGCCUUUGAUACUGGAGAGCUUGAGUCCGGGAGAGGUGAGUGGAACUCCGAGUGUAGAGGUGAAAUUCGUAGAUAUUGGGAAGAACACCGGUGGCGAAGGCGGCGCUCUGGACCGAGACUGACGCUGAGGCGCGAAAGCCAGGGGAGCAAACGGG